GGAGCCGUGCCUGAAUUAAAGGACCACUUUGAUAGAGUGAAUAAUGGGGGUUAAAAUCCCCCCGCCUCCU
rnacentral:tRNA from 1 species